GCCGGGUGCGGUGGCAUGUGCCUGUAAUCCAAGUCACUGGGAGGCUGAGGUUGGUGGAUCAAGUGAGCUGAGGAGCUCUGGGCUGCAGCACAAUAUGUCGAACGGGUCUCCACGCUAAGUUUGGUAUCGAUAUGGUGUUCCUGGGGGAUACCGGGACCACCAGGUUGUCUAAGGAGGGGUGAACUGGCCCAGGUUGGAGAAGAAGCAGGUCAAAUCCCCCGUGCUGUCCAGUAGUGGGAUAAUACCUGUGAGUAGAUGCUGCAAUGCAGCCUUGGCAAAACAUCGAGACCUAAUCUUUC
ensembl:misc_RNA Metazoa_SRP Metazoan signal recognition particle RNA